GACGAACCGAGCGAACGUUGUUCGGAAUCACUGGGCUUAAAGCGCGUGUAGGCGGGCCGCCACGUCAGUCGCUGAAAUCCCCCGGCUCAACCGGGGAAGUGGCACUGAUACGAGCGGCCUGGAGGGAGGUAGGGGGGGCUGGAACUUCCGGUGGAGCGGUGAAAUGCGUUGAGAUCGGAAGGAACGCCCGUGGCGAAAGCGAGCCCCUGGACCUUUUCUGACGCUGAGACGCGAAAGCUAGGGGAGCGAACGGG
rnacentral:rRNA from 1 species